rnacentral:rRNA from 1 species
AGCGAACGCUGGCGGCAGGCUUAACACAUGCAAGUCGAACGGGCUUCUUCGGAAGUCAGUGGCAGACGGGUGAGUAACACGUGGGAACGUGCCCUUCGGUUCGGAAUAACUCAGGGAAACUUGAGCUAAUACCGGAUACGCCCUUUUGGGGAAAGGUUUACUGCCGAAGGAUCGGCCCGCGUCUGAUUGGCUUUUUGGUAGGGUAACGGCCUGCCAAGGCGACGAUCAGUAGCUGGUCUGAGAGGAUGAUCAGCCACACUGGGACUGAGACACGGCCCAGACUCCUACGGGAGGCAGCAGUGGGGAAUAUUGGACAAGGGGCGCAAGCCUGAUCCAGCCAUGCCGCGUGAGUGAUGAAGGCCUUAGGGUUGUAAAGCUCUUUUGUCCGGGACGAUAAUGACGGUACCGGAAGAAUAAGCCCCGGCUAACUUCGUG